rnacentral:rRNA from 1 species
UACGUAGGGGGCAAGCGUUGUCCGGAUUUAUUGGGCGUAAAGAGCGUGUAGGCGGCCCGACAGGUCCGUUGUGAAAACUCGAGGCUCAACCUCGAGACGUCGAUGGAAACCGUCGGGCUAGAGUCCGGAAGAGGAGAGUGGAAUUCCUGGUGUAGCGGUGAAAUGCGCAGAUAUCAGGAGGAACACCCGUGGCGAAAGCGGCUCUCUGGGACGGUACUGACGCUGAGACGCGAAAGCGUGGGGAGCAAACAGG